rnacentral:rRNA from 1 species
UACGUAGGGAGCAAGCGUUGUUCGGAUUUACUGGGCGUAAAGGGCGCGUAGGCGGCGCGGUAAGUCACUUGUGAAAUCUCUGAGCUUAACUCAGAACGGCCAAGUGAUACUGCAGUGCUAGAGUGCAGAAAGGGCAAUCGGAAUUCUUGGUGUAGCGGUGAAAUGCGUAGAUAUCAAGAGGAACACCCGAGGCGAAGGCGGGUUGCUAGGCUGACACUGACGCUGAGGCGCGAAAGCCAGGGGAGCAAACGGG